UGGGGAAUUUUUGGACAAUGGGGCGAAAGCCUGAUCCAGCAAUGCCGCGUGUGUGAAGAAGGCCUUCGGGUUGUAAAGCACUUUUGUCCGGAAAGAAAUCCUUGGCUCUAAUACAGUCGGGGGAUGACGGUACCGGAAGAAUAAGCACCGGCUAACUACGUGCCAGCAGCCGCGGUAAUACGUAGGGUGCGAGCGUUAAUCGGAAUUACUGGGCGUAAAGCGUGCGCAGGCGGUUUGCUAAGACCGAUGUGAAAUCCCCGGGCUCAACCUGGGAACUGCAUUGGUGACUGGCAGGCUAGAGUAUGACAGAGGGGGGUAGAAUUCCACGUGUAGCAAGUGAAAUGCGUAGAGAUGUGGAGGAAUACCGAUGGCGAAGGCAGCCCCCUGGGCCAAUACUGACGCUCAUGCACG
rnacentral:rRNA from 1 species